rnacentral:rRNA from 1 species
UAACCUGCCCAAGAGAUCGGGAUAACACCUGAAACAGAUGCUAAUACCGGAUAACAACAGAUGAUGCCUAUCAACUGUUUAAAAGAUGGUUCUGCUAUCACUCUUGGAUGGACCUGCGGUGCAUUAGCUAGUUGGUAGGGUAACGGCCUACCAAGGCGAUGAUGCAUAGCCGAGUUGAGAGACUGAUCGGCCACAUUGGGACUGAGACACGGCCCAAACUCCUACGGGAGGCAGCAGC